rnacentral:rRNA from 1 species
GUGGGGAAUAUUGGACAAUGGGGGGAACCCUGAUCCAGCCAUGCCGCGUGUGUGAAGAAGGCCUUUUGGUUGUAAAGCACUUUAAGCGAGGAGGAGGCUACCGAGAUUAAUACUCUUGGAUAGUGGACGUUACUCGCAGAAUAAGCACCGGCUAACUCUGUGCCAGCAGCCGCGGUAAUCCAGAGGGUGCAAGCGUCAAUCGGAUUUACUGGGCGUAAAGCGCGCGUAGGUGGCCAAUUAAGUCAAAUGUGAAAUCCCCGAGCUUAACUUGGGAAUGGCAGUUGAUACUGGUUGGCUAGAGGAUGGGAGAGGAUGGUAGAAUUCCAGGUGUAGCGGUGAAAUGCGUAGAGAUCUGGGGGAAUACCGAUGGCGAAGGCAGCCAUCUGGCCUAAUACUGACACUGAGGUGCGAAAGCGUGGGGAGCAAACAGGAUUAGAUACCCCGGUAGUCC